rnacentral:rRNA from 1 species
CAUGCAAGUCGAGGGGAAACGACAUCGAAAGCUUGCUUUUGAUGGGCGUCGACCGGCGCACGGGUGAGUAACGCGUAUCCAACCUGCCCACCACUUGGGGAUAACCUUGCGAAAGUAAGACUAAUACCCAAUGACGUCUCUAGAAGACAUCUGAAGGAGAUUAAAGAUUUAUCGGUGAUGGAUGGGGAUGCGUCUGAUUAGCUUGUUGGCGGGGUAACGGCCCACCAAGGCGACGAUCAGUAGGGGUUCUGAGAGGAAGGUCCCCCACAUUGGAACUGAGACACGGUUCAAACUCCUACGGGAGGCAGCAGUGAGGAAUAUUGGUCAAUGGACGAGAGUCUGAACCAGCCAAGUAGCGUGCAGGAUGACGGCCCUAUGGGUUGUAAACUGCUUUUAUAAGGGAAUAAAGUGAGUCUCGUGAGACUUUUUGCAUGUACCUUAUGAAUAAGGACCGGCUAAUUCCGUGCCAGCAGCCGCGGUAAUACGGAAGGUCCGGGCGUUAUCCGGAUUUAUUGGGUUUAAAGGGAGCGUAGGCCGGAGAUUAAGCGUGUUGUGAAAUGUAGACGCUCAACGUCUGCACUGCAGCGCGAACUGGUUUCCUUGAGUACGCACAAAGUGGGCGGAAUUCGUGGUGUAGCGGUGAAAUGCUUAGAUAUCACGAAGAACUCCGAUUGCGAAGGCAGCUCACUGGAGCGCAACUGACGCUGAAGCUCGAAAGUGCGGGUAUCGAACAGGAUUAGAUACCCUGGUAGUCCGCACGGUAAACGAUGGAUGCCCGCUGUUGGUCUGAAUAGGUCAGCGGCCAAGCGAAAGCAUUAAGCAUCCCACCUGGGGAGUACGCCGGCAACGGUGAAACUCAAAGGAAUUGACGGG